CAAGGCCCCAUGCUGAAGACGGCACAGCCAGGAAGUGCAAGGAGCCGGGUCCCCAAUCACUGCUCGGAGCAGAUCCCUCAUUUUGGAUCUUAUGAGAAAACAGCUUCAUUUUUUAAUUGUAGAACUUAUAUUUCAACCAUCAAAGUUAUUUUGGGCCAAUGUCUGUUUUGGAAACAUGCAUAUUUACAUCUCUGAACACAACAAACAUUUCAAACAAAACGAUGUUCGGCAAGUCUCAACUUAACCUUCCAAAUACAAUAGGAUCAAGAAUGUCAGGAUCAAGUGGAGACACCCCAAGUAUCAACAAAGGGAGGUGUGAUACUGGUGAAACGACAAUGACGACAGCAGGAGAGUGUGAGGAACGGGCCCUCACCCACUGACAGCUGGAAGCACAUCAGGACAAUGGGACAGACUCUCCGCAGGCAACGUGGAAACAUGCAUCCGCAGCCCUGCAUUUCUCUCGACUCUUUGUCCCAGCCACUUAACUUCCAGAGUUUUAACUGGACAGAAUAAUCAAGAAUGUGCAGAAUGACAUGGCCACAGAACACAUUAUCAGAGGUAUCAAAAUGGGAUAAUCCAAUUUAUACUAUUUUAUAAUCUCGGCAACAUGAUGAUAACAUUGUUUCAUGUCAUUAUAUUGUGUGUGCUACAUACUUUUUAGUGCCUCUUCACUGAAUAAACCUAUGAAAAUUGAUACAAGCAGUCUAACAAUAGGAGACUGGUUAAAGCCAUACAAUGAUCCCAUUUUUUGGUUUGCACACACAUGUGCACGUGCACAC